CAAAAAUCUACUCAUGCAUAUGGUGGAUGCCUUGGGUUGCUUUGCCUAAGAAGGACGUAGCAGGCGACGAAACUGACCGAGUAGCUGCCAACAAGCGUUAAUCCGGUCAUGUCCGAAUGGGGAAACCCGGCCGCCUUUGGCGGUCACCAAGCAGUGAAUAAAUAGCUGCUUGGAGGGAACCUGGCGAACUGAAACAUCUAAGUAACCAGUGGAAAAGAAAUCAAUUUGAGAUUCCGUUAGUAGAGGCGAUCGAACGCGGAACAGCCUAAACCCUUGUGUGCAGCACAAGAAUUUUCAAGGAUCAAUUCUCAAUUUUCAUUGAAUUUUCAAUAUCUCAGUUUUAAAAAAUUGUUUCAUUGAUAUUUAAUUGUAAAUUGUAAAUUGUAAAUUGGAACUUCUCGCGCUGUGCGUGAGGGUGUUGUAGGGCUUUGCGUAAUCACUUGAAAAGGUAGUAGAACUGCUUGGAAUAGCGGAUCAUAGAGGGUGAAAAUCCCGUAUACGAAACUUGAGUAAAGUGAGGCAGAGUACCUGAGUACCUCGGGACACGUGGUAUCUUGAGGGAAUCUGGGGCGACCAUGCUCUAAGGCUAAAUACAAAGCAACACCGAUAGUGAACUAGUACCGUGAGGGAAAGGUGAAAAGUACCGUUGUUAACGGAAUGAAAUAGUACCUGAAACCAUAUGCUAUUAGCAGUCAGAGCACUAAGGAUAGGACUACGUUGGGUCCGCAAGGAUCCUCGUUCCUAACCAGUGUGAUGGCGUGCCUAUUGAAGAAUGAACCGGCGAGUUAUACCGUAAACUGCAAGUUUAAGCUCUUUACAGAGCGGAGGCGUAGUGAAAGCGAGCCCUAACUGGGCGACCUAAGCAGUUUGGUAUAGACCCGAAACCAGGUGAGCUAAGCAUGAGCAGGGUGAACCUAGGGUAAAACCUGGGGGAGGCCCGCACCCGUUGUCGUUGCAAUGACUUGGGAUGACUUGUGUUUAGAGGUGAUAUGCCAAUCGAACCUGGAAAUAGCUGGUUCUCCCCGAAAUAUAUAGAGGUAUAGCCUUCCGUUUAUCUAUCAUGGGGUAGAGCUACUGGAUGGAGCCGCAGGGCCGCAAGGUCUUGCCUCUAACCAAACUCCGAAUACGUGGUAGUUUUGCGGGGGAGUCAGAACGUGGCGGCUAAGCGUCAUGGUUCUAAAGGGAAACAACCCAGAUCGUCAGCUAAGGUCCCUAAAUCUAGGUUAAGUGUAAAACGAAGUGAAGUUCUAUAGACACCCAGGAGGUUGGCUUAGAAGCAGCCACCCUUUAAAAAGUGCGUAACAGCUUACUGGUUUAAGAAUUUUGCGCGGACAAUGUAACGGGGCUCAAACCUAGUACCGAAGCUACGGAUGCUUGUGUGCAGCACAAGAAUUUUCAAGGAUCAAUUCUCAAUUUUCAUUGAAUUUUCAAUGUUUUAAUAACUUAAUAGUUUAAACAUUGAGGUUUAAUUGUAAAUUGUAAAUUGUAAAUUGGAACUUCUCGCGCUGUGCGCGAGUGUGGUAGGGGAGCGUUCUAUUUGCAGUGAAGGUCAAUCGUAAGACGGGCUGGAGCGGAUAGAAGUGAGAAUGCCGGUAUGAGUAGCGUAAGUCCGAUGAAAAAUCGGACCACCGAAUGCCCAAGGUUUCCUACGCAACGUUAAUCGGCGUAGGGUUAGUCGGUCCUAAGUCGAGACCGUAAAGGUGUAGACGAUGGACAAGCAGACAAAUUUCUGCUACAAGGUAAUAGCGAUUAAGACUUAAAGGGAUGACAAAAGUGGAUGCCCCUAGCCCAGUUUCGCAAUUGGGUUUAAGUAGUAAGGAAGUGUUGAUAGGCAAAUCCGUCGACACGUUUAUUUGAGCUACGAAUAAAAUCCUGAUAGUAAUUGAAGGAGAUUAGGAAGCAUUCAGUUUUCAGGAAAACUCUCGUUAAGAGCUAUUAUUUUACCGUACCGCAAACCGACACAGGUGGGCUGGUCGAGUAGACCAAGGUGAUCGGGAGAACCUUCUCUAAGGAACUAGGCAAAAGAGCUCGAUGUAUCCUUGGAAGAUAUCGUGCCCCUCUUGUGUGCAGCACAAGAAUUUUCAAGGAUCAAUUCUCAAUUUCCAUUGAAUUUUCAAUAGUUCAAAUUUUAAACUUGAUAUUUAAUUGUAAAUUGUAAAUUGUAAAUUGGAACUUCUCGCGCUGUGCGCGAGUUGGGGUUACAACAAAAGACUCUCAAGCGACUGUUUAACAAAAACACAGGUCUCUGCAAACCCGUAAGGGGAAGUAUAGGGGCUGACGCCUGACCAGUGCUGUAAGGUUAAAGAAGGAGCUGCAAGGUUCCGACUGAAGCCACAGUAAACGUCCGCAGUAACUAUAACUGUGCUAAGGUAGCGAAGUUCCUUGUCGGGUGAAAGAAUCGCCCGUACUGGCUUAAAACGGUGGAGCCCUACUAUGUUGUGCUGAUCAAGGCAGCAUGUAAAAGUAGAGGGUAAUACCGUGGGUAAGUCCCGCGUAGCUUUACAUGUCCUCCGUAGUUUUAACGAAGGAUGGAUGCGAAGUGGGACCCUGUAACGACUUGAUCCGUUAUAGUUGAUACAAGAACGGAUCAGAGGCAUAUUAUAGAUAAUAUGCCUAAUACGCCAGCGCUUGAUGAGAACAUCGGUUAUUAUUUAUCAGGUUAUGCCGAUGGUGAAGGAAGUUUUUGUAUAUCAUUCUCCCCAAGACCAAAGAUUAGAACCUCGUUAGAAGUUCGACCUAGCUUUUCGGUUUCUCAGAAUUACGAUCGCCAAGAAGUAUUACAAACAUUCAAACGCUACCUUGGUUGUGGAACUAUUCGGAGGAACCCAAGCGAUAGAACUUACAAAUACGAGGUAAGAAGUAUAAAGGACUUACAAGAAAAAGUUAUACCACACUUUCUUAAGUACCCUUUGCUUUCAUCGAAAGUGAAGGAUUUUGAAAAAUUUACCCGCGUGUGUAAUUUGGUACACCAAGGGGCGCACUUAAAAAAAGAGGAGUUAAACAAGAUUCUUGAAAUUUCUUUUCAAAUGAACGGUCUAGGGGCAAGAAGAUAUACUAGAGAACAACUUCUUAGCCUCAUUAAGUGAAGAUAUAGUCUACGCCUCAAGUAAUUGAGGAUUAAUCGUGAAGUUCCGACCCGCACGAAUGGCAGAACGACUUGAGAACUGUCUCAGAGAAGGACCCGGCGAAAUUGAGAUGGCUGUGAAGACGCGGCCUUUCCACGCCAGGACAAAAAGACCCCGUGGAGCUUUACUACAACUUGAUCCUGUAUUGAGUUUCAGAAUGUGUAGCGUAAGAGGGAGCUUCGGCGACAAUGAAACACCUCUCUUUCUGGAAUUUAGUACUAACCGAGAGCCAUAAUCUGGCCUCGAGACAAGGUCUGGUGGGUAGUUUGACUGGGGCGGUCCCCACCAAAAGAGUAACGGUGGGGCUCAAAGGUUGGCUUAGCCCGGAUGGAAAUCGGGCUGGACGUGUAAGAGCGUAAGCCAGCUUGACUGCGAGACCUACAAGUCGAGCAGGAACGAAAGUUGGAUCUAAUGAUCCUCCGAUACCUUAUGGGAGGUUCGGAGCUUAACGGAUAAAAGCUACCCCGGGGAUAACAGGCUUAUGGUGCCCAAGAGUCAAUUUUGGCUCGCUUAGGCGGUAACGCUUAAGGCAAUAGCAACUCAAAUCGGUGAAGUCCUAGUUGACAUUCGGAUUUACUUUGGGUAAAUUCUAGUCAACGGAUAAUACCGAGGGUAAGAUAGCUUGUCGUGAACACACACUUUGCCAUUAAAGCAAGAAGUCAACCAUUAACCGCGCAACAAAUCGCGGUAGUGAUUGGUUCUAUGCUGGGAGAUGGGUAUCUAGUCAAAACUACAAGCGGUUUUGCUUUCCGUGUUAAUCAUAGUCUUAAACAAAAGGACUAUGUUAUGUGGAAGUAUAAACUGCUCAAAGAUUUUUCUAAUUCCUCUCCACGACAAAGUGGGACCUGUUUUUACUUUCGGACUAUUACUCAUCCUACAUUUGUACAGAUGCAUAAUGUCUUUUACCGAAAUGGUCGUAAAGUAAUUCCUAAAAAACUCCUAGCGGAAUUACUAGACGAUCUGGUACUAGCAGUGUGGAUCAUGGAUGAUGGUAGUCGUGAUGGUAUGCAGAUUCGGAUUAACUCGCAGUGCUUUAAUAAAGCAGAAAACGAGUUUCUUCAAAAAGUGUUGCGUACUAAACUUGGAAUUGUGACGACUCUUAACCGCGAUAAAGUUUACUAUCGGUUACGAGUUGCUCAUCAGAGUAUGGAGACAAUAAGAACACGAGUGACUCCAAACCUCAUUCCAAGCAUGUUUUACAAGCUAAUCCCGUAACGACUGAAGUCCGAUAUUUUCGGACUGAGAUAGCUCAAUUUUAUACACAGAAUAGGAGUUAUCAUAUGUUGCCAUCCUGAAAAGGAUGAAGGUAUAGUCUAUACUCAAAGAAAUUUGGGAUAAUAUGUCAUAUCGACGGCACCGUUUGGCACCUCGAUGUCGGCUCGUCGCAUCCUGGGUGUGAAGUAGCACCCAAGGGUUGGGCUGUUCGCCCAUUAAAGCGGUACGCGAGCUGGGUUCAGAGCGUCGUGAGACAGCUCGGACUCUAUCCGGCGUGGACGUAAGAAACUUGAGGGGACCUCUCCCUAGUAAGAAAUUGCUACUUACUACAGUAAUGUAGUUUGACAAUUCGGCUAAUAACGGUGAAGCCCAUUGACUUUGGGUUUUGUUUGGUUCUAUACUAAACCCAAGAUAACAUGUUUAUGGGUAAUACCGUGGGAAGUCUCUCUAAAGUAAAAGCAACAGAUCUUGCUUAUAUAGCAGGUUUCCUAGAUGGAGAUGGUAGUAUCAUGCUUCAACUACAUCGACGUCAAAGUGGUAAAGAAAUUUUCCGAGUAAAAACAGUAAUCUGUUUCUAUCAGGAUUUCAGCCAUCUUCAGGAAAUAGAAUGGAUUAGGCAUACCUUAGGUUGUGGUUAUGUUUAUACUAGAAAUGAUCACAUUUCUGAGUUAAGAAUAGAAGGAUUCGAAAAAGUUUUAAAUAUCCUUAAGUUGCUAAGUCCGUAUCUAAGAUUUAAACGAAAGCAGGCUAGUCUGUUGCUGGAGCUGAUACCAAAAUUACAACAAAAACUAAUUACAAAACAUGACGUUGUUUGGUGGAUUCAGCAGAUGCGGGAAAAUAAUUACUUUUCAGCACAAAGAAAUACUUUAGUAGAUGACCCCGUAACGACUGAUAUAUGAAUAAUUAUUCAUAUUGAAUGGAAGGUACCGGAUAAUCCGGAAUUGAACUUCCAUUAUACGCCGACCCCGCCAAUUGGCGGGUGAAGAUAUAGUCUGAUCCUCAGAGUAAUCUGAGCAAACAUAAUGACGAGAGGACCGGGAGGGACGUACCUCUGGUGUGUCAGUUGUGCAAGCUUGCGCAACGCUGAGUAGCUAUGUACGGAGUUGAUAAGUGCUGAAAGCAUAUAAGCACGAAGCACACCCCAAGAUUAAGUUUUUUUAUCUGCCGCAAGGCAGGUGUAGAGCGGUUGAAGACCACGACCUCGAUAGGUAGCAAGUGUAAGCAUCGUAAGAUGUUCAGCUAAGCUAUACUAAUGCUCUAUCAGAUUUUUGUU
rfam:Candidatus Woykebacteria bacterium RIFCSPLOWO2_01_FTLL_43_14 rifcsplowo2_01_scaffold_7129, whole genome shotgun sequence.